ACUGUGGUACACUUUUGGUGGAGGAACUAAACUGACGAUCGCUGGUCCCGCAGUGAAGCCCUCCGUGUCUCUGCUGCCUCCCUCUUCUCUGCAGAUCUCUGGAGACUCAGCCGCACUGCUCUGCCUGCUCAGCUCUUACUCUCCACAGGGGGCGCAGGUGAGCUGGACGCUGGACGGGUCAGAGGUCACCGAGGGGGUUCAGACCAGCGCAGAGAGCGAGCGGGACGGACGCUACAGCCGCAGCAGCGUCCUGAGCCUCAGCAAAGCACGCUGGGAAGACACAAAGCGCUUCGUCUGCAAAGUAACACAUGACGGAGCUGAUCACGAGACCUCGUUCCUCAAGAGCUCCGAGUGCUGAUGUUUCUCCAGUGAAGAGCAGCAGCAUUCACAGCAGUCUCCUGAUUUACAGCUCAAUACUCAAGCAGUCUUUCAAUGUGCUGCCAUUGCUGUUCAUUCAAUAAAGCUUCUGAACGCCUUA